ACGGGGCGCAGCAGGCGCGAAAACUUUACAAUGCAGGAAACUGUGAUAAGGGAACCCCGAGUGCCCGUACACGCGGGCUGUCCCGGUGUUUAAAACACAUCGGAAGAAAGGGCCGGGCAAGGCCGGUGCCAGCAGCCGCGGUAAUAAGGGCG
rnacentral:rRNA from 1 species